AUUGAACGCUGGCGGCAGGCCUAACACAUGCAAGUCGAACGAGUGGCGGACGGGUGAGUAAUGUCUGGGAAACUGCCCGAUGGAGGGGGAUAACUACUGGAAACGGUAGCUAAUACCGCAUACCAUCGGAUGUGCCUAGAUGGGAUUAGCUAGUAGGUGGGGUAAAGGCUCACCUAGGCGACGAUCCCUUGCUGGUCUGAGAGGAGGACGAGACACACUGGAACUGGGACACGGCCCAGACUGCGACGGGAGGCAGCAGGGGGGAAUAUUGCACAAUGGGCGGAAGCCUGAUGCAGCCAUGCUGCGUGUAUGAAGAAGGCCUUAGGGGUGUAACGUACUUUCAGCGAGGAGUCGUUACUCUCAGAAGAAGCACCGGCUAACUACGUGCCAGCAGCCGCGGUAAUUC
rnacentral:rRNA from 1 species